rnacentral:rRNA from 1 species
UCGGGGAACGAUAACGGCGUCGAGCGGCGGACGGGUGAGUAAUGCCUAGGAAAUUGCCCUGAUGUGGGGGAUAACCAUUGGAAACGAUGGCUAAUACCGCAUGAUGCCUACGGGCCAAAGAGGGGGACCUUCGGGCCUCUCGCGUCAGGAUAUGCCUAGGUGGGAUUAGCUAGUUGGUGAGGUAAGGGCUCACCAAGGCGACGAUCCCUAGCUGGUCUGAGAGGAUGAUCAGCCACACUGGAACUGAGACACGGUCCAGACUCCUACGGGAGGCAGCAGUGGGGAAUAUUGCACAAUGGGCGCAAGCCUGAUGCAGCCAUGCCGCGUGUGUGAAGAAGGCCUUCGGGUUGUAAAGCACUUUCAGUCGUGAGGAAGGUGGUGUAGUUAAUAGCUGCAUCAUUUGACGUUAGCGACAGAAGAAGCACCGGCUAACUCCGUGCCAGCAGCCGCGGUAAUACGGAGGGUGCGAGCGUUAAUCGGAAUUACUGGGCGUAAAGCGCAUGCAGGUGGUUUGUUAAGUCAGAUGUGAAAGCCCGGGGCUCAACCUCGGAAUAGCAUUUGAAACUGGCAGACUAGAGUACUGUAGAGGGGGGUAGAAUUUCAGGUGUAGCGGUGAAAUGCGUAGAGAUCUGAAGGAAUACCGGUGGCGAAGGCGGCCCCCUGGACAGAUACUGACACUCAGAUGCGAAAGCGUGGGGAGCAAACAGGAUUAGAUACCCUGGUAGUCCACGCCGUAAACGAUGUCUACUUGGAGGUUGUGGCCUUGAGCCGUGGCUUUCGGAGCUAACGCGUUAAGUAGACCGCCUGGGGAGUACGGUCGCAAGAUUAAAACUCAAAUGAAUUGACGGGGGCCCGCACAAGCGGUGGAGCAUGUGGUUUAAUUCGAUGCAACGCGAAGAACCUUACCUACUCUUGACAUCCAGAGAACUUUCCAGAGAUGGAUUGGUGCCUUCGGGAACUCUGAGACAGGUGCUGCAUGGCUGUCGUCAGCUCGUGUUGUGAAAUGUUGGGUUAAGUCCCGCAACGAGCGCAACCCUUAUCCUUGUUUGCCAGCGAGUAAUGUCGGGAACUCCAGGGAGACUGCCGGUGAUAAACCGGAGGAAGGUGGGGACGACGUCAAGUCAUCAUGGCCCUUACGAGUAGGGCUACACACGUGCUACAAUGGCGCAUACAGAGGGCGGCCAACUUGCGAAAGUGAGCGAAUCCCAAAAAGUGCGUCGUAGUCCGGAUUGGAGUCUGCAACUCGACUCCAUGAAGUCGGAAUCGCUAGUAAUCGUGGAUCAGAAUGCCACGGUGAAUACGUUCCCGGGCCUUGUACACACCGCCCGUCACACCAUGGGAGUGGGCUGCAAAAGAA